GUCUACGGCCAUGCUACCCUGAACAAGCCCGAUCUCGUCUGAUCUCAGAAGCUAAGCAGGGUCAGGCCUGGUUAGUACUUGGAUGAGAGACUACCUAGGAAGACCAGGUGCUAUAGGCU
rnacentral:rRNA from 1 species